CCUACGGGAGGCAGCAGUGGGGAAUAUUGGACAAUGGGCGAAAGCCUGAUCCAGCAAUGCCGCGUGAGUGAUGAAGGCCUUAGGGUUGUAAAGCUCUUUUACCAGGGAUGAUAAUGACAGUACCUGGAGAAUAAGCUCCGGCUAACUCCGUGCCAGCAGCCGCGGUAAUACGGAGGGAGCUAGCGUUGUUCGGAAUUACUGGGCGUAAAGCGUGCGUAGGCGGUGAUUCAAGUCAGAGGUGAAAGCCUGGAGCUCAACUCCAGAACGGCCUUUGAAACUAGAUCGCUAGAAUUAUGGAGAGGUAAGUGGAAUUCCGAGUGUAGAGGUGAAAUUCGUAGAUAUUCGGAAGAACACCAGUGGCGAAGGCGACUUACUGGACAUAUAUUGACGCUGAGGUACGAAAGCGUGGGGAGCAAACAGGAUUAGAUACCCUGGUAGUCCACGCCGUAAACGAUGAUAACUAGCUGUUCGGGCUCUCAGAGCUUGAGUGGCGCAGCUAACGCAUUAAGUUAUCCGCCUGGGGAGUACGGUCGCAAGAAUUAAAACUCAAAUUGAAUUGACGGCUUGNGAGNGCGAGCGACACGAGGAGAGG
rnacentral:rRNA from 1 species